AUUGAACGCUAGCGGCAUGCCUUACACAUGCAAGUCGAACGGCAGCACGGGGGCAACCCUGGUGGCGAGUGGCGAACGGGUGAGUAAUGCAUCGGAACGUGCCCAUCGAUGGGGGAUAACUGCGCGAAAGCGUUGCUAAUACCGCAUACGACCUACGGGUGAAAGCAGGGGACCGCAAGGCCUUGCGUCGAUGGAGCGGCCGAUGCCGGACUAGCUAGUUGGUGAGGUAAAGGCUCACCAAGGCGACGAUCCGUAGCUGGUCUGAGAGGACGACCCAGCCACACUGGGACUGAGACACGGCCCAGACUCCUACGGGAGGCAGCAGUGGGGAAUAUUGGACAAUGGGCGAAAGCCUGAUCCAGCAAUGCCGCGUGUGUGAAGAAGGCCUGCGGGUUGUAAAGCACUUUCAGUAGGGAAGAAAAGCCUAAGGUUAAUACCCUUGAGUCUUGACGUUACCUACAGAAGAAGCACCGGCUAACUCCGUG
rnacentral:rRNA from 1 species